rnacentral:rRNA from 1 species
UACGAAGGGGGCUAGCGUUGCUCGGAAUUACUGGGCUUAAAGGGAGCGUAGGCGGGUUAUCAAGUUGGGGGUGAAAGCCCGGGGCUCAACCUCGGAAUUGCCUUCAAAACUGGUAGCCUAGAGUAUGAUAGAGGUAUGUGGAACUCCGAGUGUAGAGGUGAAAUUCGUAGAUAUUCGGAAGAACACCAGUGGCGAAGGCGACAUACUGGGUCAUGACUGACGCUGAGGCUCGAAAGCGUGGGGAGCAAACAGG